rnacentral:rRNA from 1 species
CCUACGGGUGGCAGCAGUGGGGGAUAUUGCACAAUGGGGGGAACCCUGAUGCAGCGACGCCGCGUGGGUGAAGAAGCGCCUCGGCGCGUAAAGCUCUGUCAGCAGGGAAGAAAAUGACGGUACCUGAAGAAGAUGCCCCGGCUAACUACGUGCCAGCAGCCGCGGUAAUAGGGAGGGGGCAAGCGUUAUCCGGAUUUACUGGGUGUAAAGGGGGCGCAGACGGCGGUGCAAGCCAGGAGUGAAAGGCCGGGGCCAAACCCGGGGAUUGCUCUGGGAACUGGGUGGCUGGAGUGCAGGCGGGGCAGGCGGAAUGCGGGGGGUAGGGGUGAAAGGCGUAGAUAUGAGGAAGAACACCGGGGGCGAGGGCGGCUGGCUGGAGUGGAACUGACGUUGAGGCCCGAAAGCGGGGGGAGCGAACAGGAUUAGAGACCCGGGUAGUC